UCUAACCUUAUUUGUUCAUUGGCGUGUGAUUGUCACCCACAAUAGCCAAUGAGAUUGUGCCUUUACAGUAUUUAAGGCUGGAGUCAUGUCACCUGGUGUGCGUCACCGCUGGGACUGCUUUUGAUGGAGUGCGCAUGUGCAGAGGGUGCGUGGUCUCUGUGGUAUGUAGCAGUUAAUGGAAGAGUGGGUAUGAGGAUUAAAAGUAGAUCUUUUCUUCCCCUAGCGCGAAAAGUGGCUGGUUGAUACUUUGUUCUGGUUACAGGCUGUCCACCAUAUGUCAGUUGUGGAUCCUUUCGUGUCUGUCUUUCCUGCAUAAUCUUUUGUGAGUUGUGAGCAGCGGUAAAACUUGUGCUUAUAAUAAUCCGCUUUUUGUGCGUUGACGUCUUUCCGAUGCCGCGCGUCUAGUUACGAGAAUGCGGAAGUGUUUACACGGCGUUUAAAAGGACGGCGCUGCUGUUUUUCUCCUUUUUCUUUGGGACUUUCUUUUCGUUUUAUUUUUAUUUUCCUUUUUGUGGUAUGCCCACUGUUAUGUUAUUAAUUUUGUUUGCAUCUGUUUAUCGUCAUCAUUUAAAACUGAUCAAGACGGGGUUGGUUGCACCGGUGACUUUUAUCGGUGCUGUGAAAAGUGUCCUGAUGCAACUUUGACUUUUUGAUAACCUGAUUGCUGACCCUAUCGCUCCAGUGAGCAUUUGAACUGUUCCAUCCAGUAUUUGGGUCCCUUUUUUUUGCUCUGAAUAUUUUUGUAGGUUUAAUUUGAUGGAAAUAACUUGACUGUAUUACCGAAUGUAAUAUUACUUUUCUCUUGUUUUGGCUUGCUCUAGGCAUUGUCGGUCCCUGAGGCUAGUUAGCUUCGAGUAUUGGUGGUGGUAUAAUCGCGUGGAGUGCAGUGCUGCUUGGAUUCACCUUUCACAGAGUGUGUGUGUGGGAUGCACGAGUGUGCCAUUAGGAUCCUCACUUCGCCUAGCCUGCCCUUGCCGUUGGAAAGCCUGUGCUGUAUCUUUUUUUUUUUUUUUUUCUUGUUUCUUUGAGUAUUCUAAAUGUCUUUUAUUUGUAGGAAACAGAGCUCCCUUUUUGUAACCAUGUGAUAUUGAAUUGAUACUGAUUGAUCUUGAGACUUUUAACUAUUUAUUGUGGAUAUCUA